CAACAAGGGGACUGCAAUUACGUAUAGCCAACCAACAGGCUAUAGUGAGCCGGUAUGGACACAAUACAUGCUCGGCACUGUCUAAGUUCGCUGAACUUCUUCCCCAGGAAUCCCGAACAGAGUUUUCGGCUCUAGUUGAGGAGGGGAAGUUAAUCACCUGGGCAUCCCUCCAGGCAGUCCUGGAUGCUGCGGAUGCAGCCUCCCGCAUACUGGCGACUGGGCUGGUUAUGAGGUGGGGAGCCUGGCUUCAGGUCUUAGGCCUUCCACGUGAGGUCCAACAGACUAUCCAGGACCUCCCCUUCGAAGGGCCCAUGCUCUUCUCUGAAAAGACGGACAAGAGGCUACAUAGCCUAAAGGACUCGAGGGCUACCCUUCGCUCGCUGGGCUUGCACACCCCAGUCCGUCAACGUAGGCAGUUCAGGCUGCAACCGGCCCCACGACCAUACCAGCCUCAGAACCGCACGGACGCCUUGCGCAGGUGAGGCAGGAACGGCAGAAGGAGGCAACAACAACAGCCCUCCGGCCAGUCAUCUGGCCAGCCAAGGCCACCAUCGGGGCCUAGACCCCCAAUUUGAUGGCACGGUCGGGGACGACCUACUGGUCAGGACUCUGGAUCCUACCAACCAUACCUUUUUGUCACGUCUGUCCCCCUUCUAUCGUGCCUGGUCCCGAAUCACAUCUGACAGUUGGGUGCUUUGCACGGUAGAGAGGGGAUAUUCUAUCCAGUUCUCCUCCUUCCCGCCCCACCAGGCCCCCUCCCCGUCCCUCUUCAGGGACCCCUCUCACGAGCAACUUUUAAUUCAGGAAGUGCAGUCCCUGCUUGCAGUAGGAGCAGUGGAGGAAGUUCCUCAGGGGCAGAGGCUUCUACUCCCGUUAUUUCCUAAUACCGAAGGUGAAAGGGGGCAUCAGAUGUAUUCUGGACUUGCGGCGUCUGAACAAAUUGAUAAAGAAGCUCAAGUUCCUCAUGAUCUCACUGUCCUCUAUCAUUUCCUCCAUGGAUCCAGGGGACUGGUAUGCCGCCUUCGACUUGAAGGAAGCGUAUUUUCAUAUUGCAAUAAUCCCCCAACACAGGCGUUACCUCAGAUUCGUUGUGGGCAAUGCCCAUCUUCAGUUCACAGUUCUGCCUUUCGGCCU
rnacentral:lncRNA from 1 species